GGUUUGGGGUUCAACGACCCUGUACUGACCAAGAAAAGAACAAAUGGCAAGAACCUAGGGCUUUUUCAGACCCUUGCUUCAACGUUAAUAGUCUAUGAGCAUAAUUUGAAAGGAAACAACAUCACAUUCGGGGAGAGAAAGGGUGAGGGAUUGCAUGGUGCAACUUUGGGUAGAUUUUGGGACUUUAGGGCUUUGGGGUGUUGAUUUUUGAUAGAAAAUUCAAGGAGCUUGAUGAUGGUUUGAAAGAAUCAGGUUGAGAAUUUGAGAUGAGAGGAUAAAGGGAAUUCCGAGGUGUUAAAUUGAUGGGGAUUGGAGGUCAACCGCCGGCACUGGCAAUUUCCGGUGGGCAGCGGACGGCGGUGAGAAAUAGGG
rnacentral:lncRNA from 1 species